rnacentral:sRNA from 1 species
CAAAUAUUUCUACCAAACAUAGCCUGCCUGAAUGCAUAGGAGCUGUGUAAGGCUGUUCUCCUGGGCACCUCAUCUUCCAGCUGGGAGAGAAGGGCCAGUGCUUUAUCAGCGUUACUAUAGUUAUCACCAUGGCAACCUCACCUUGCCGCCCAAGCAGAGAUACUCCUCCCAGGUGCCCAAGCAGAGAUGCUCCUCCCAGGCCCUCUGGGACGUGGUUUGAUUCACGGACCCAGCCAGCCCUUGCCAAUUCACCCUUCACCUACCCACAACUUGCUCACACCUUUAUACCAUGUGAUCCAGGGAACUCCCUGAAUGUAUCGGGACCAGGCUGUUGGAUAGGUGGAGCUCACAGAAAGACCAGGACCACCGGCUGCUUCUCAACCACAGACAUGCUCCUCUGCUGAGAAAUAAUCUUUGCCCUGCUCUCAGAGAUUCAAGAAAGGGCAACCAUGAGCCCUGCGGACGAGCAGGUGACCCUGCCUAGCCAAAGGCAAUGACACUUCGAGAAUUAAGGCAAAGACGUCUGUCCUGGUGAGCAGCUGAGCUGAUGAA